CAGUUCUCAGUAAUGUCCUUUGUUGUACUGCUCGGCAACAUAUUAUGCCUUAUAGGGAUAAUCUACUUCAGAUGACACUUCAGAAGAAAGAUAAGCAUACACAGCCAAAAGAUGCCUGUGAACGCAAUAUUAUUGGCUGACUGUGGACGAAUCCUGGAAUAUCACACCUGAAGGUUCCACAGAAGCUUCAAAGGGCAAAAUGCACGAUAAACUGAACAGUAAUCUCCUGCGAUUACCUCAAAUUGUGCUCAUUCUGGAAGGAAAGUCCCCUCUUAAGAAUACCAGUUAAAAGUCUGAGAAGAACAGAUCCACAAAGACAGGGAUCCAUUUUUAUUAACCUUGUUAUGGUCAACCAAGGACCAAGUGAAUGAAGAAGGGGAGAAAUUCACCACUCCUCACCUGGGACAAUUACUGCUGGAACUAUAAUAAAUUGAGGAAUUUCACCUGCAGAUGGAUGUAAUAAAUCAAAUUGUCAAGUUGAUGGGGCAUUUAAAACUCCUUCCCUUUAAAUAUUAAAAAAAACUCUGUGAUGUUAAAUACUACUGUUUCACUGUCUGCUGACAGAAGACUGAACAUUCUUAAUCAAGGAUUAGUGCUGCAGGAUUUUAUAACCCUUCAUUAUCACAAUGUAGUACCUCUUAAUUCACAGUUCAAUUGACAGAUUCAA